CGCGGCGCGCACGCUCCCAACGGAAUCUGACGGAAGGUUCGACUCCUAAAGUAAACUCGAAUCAACUUGAAGUCUGAGACUUUCUCUAAAAUCAAACUACAUAAAUGUGGACGGAACUUGUAAUGUUUACAAGAUGGCUAUGAGCUACACUACGCCAUUUAAAGUAGCUUGCCGGCUAGCUAACGAACACCUGGGAUAAUGGUGGAAGGGUACCCUGGGUAGUUUCCCCAAUUACGGCGACGAAUCUUUGGGCAGACAAACAAUGAUUUGAGUCAAAGAAGGUCAACACCUCAGCUCAAGCCCAGCAUCCACGCUGCUUAAACCAGCUCAGCUGAACAGAUGUGCCCCAUCAGGUCAGCUCUGUCUUGGCCAAUUUAUUUAAUUUGCUGGUGAAUAUUGUACAAUGCAGUUCAUGCUAUGAAAGUCUCCUAAUAUAUGUUUAUUUCAUAGAACUGGUCAUAGUGUGUCAACUAUGUUGUGUAGCCAUAUACAAGAAUAAUCUAUAU